GCCGGACAAACAGCAACAGGUGUCUUUGGCUGAUUCAACGGCCAAAGGUGAAACGGGAACGAGGUGCGUGGCGACUCGAUAAAACGAGUGACCACAAUGCCCCGGCUGCCCCCGCAACGGUAAGCGAGUGCGGAAGUGUCAAGGUGCCCCGGCAUGGGGUCACCAGCCACUGGUUCGUCACGUGGCGUCCAUAGGACGUGCGCGGUCGGGCCGGGAAGGCGACACUUCAAGACUUGCCAGCCCGGAGACCGGCCUGUUGCUUGGUGUCGCU
rnacentral:ncRNA from 2 species